AUUGAACGCUGGCGGCAGGCCUAACACAUGCAAGUCGAACGAGUGGCGGACGGGUGAGUAAUGUCUGGGGAACUGCCUGAUGGCGGGGGAUAACUACUGGAAACGGUAGCUAAUACCGCAUACCAUCGGAUGUGCCCAUAUGGGAUUAGCUAGUAGGUGAGGUAAAGGCUAACCUAGGCGACGAUCCCUAGCUGGUCUGAGAGGAUGAACGGCCACACUGGAACUGAGACACGGUCCAGACUCCUACGGGAGGCAGCAGUGGGGAAUAUUGCACAAUGGGCGCAAGCCUGAUGCAGCCAUGCCGCGUGUAUGAAGAAGGCCUUCGGGUUGUAAAGUACUUUCAGCCGGGAGGCGUUACCCACAGAAGAAGCACCGGCUAACUCCGUGCCAGCAGCCGCGGUAAUUC
rnacentral:rRNA from 1 species